AAACAGGUCACCUGCUGGUAUUUUGUGCAUGGGAUUUGUAAGGAAGGACAUAACUGUCGCUACUUGCAUUCCCUCUCUGACAGUCCACAUGGCGUAGUGGGCAAGUAUUUUCAGCGACGGUACUGUGUUUAUGGAGGCCGCUGCAGAUGUGAACACAGCAAGCCACUGAAACGAACAAGCAACUGCUACAGAUCUAACUACAAAAUCAUCCCUUGCUGCUUCCUUAAGUCUCUCAUUCAUAGUUGGACCGCUUGUGGAAAUGAAUACAGGCGAAGCUGAGUCAGACUCAAACUUUGCAACUGUAGGAGUGGGUUCAGAGGACUGGGUAGAUGCUGUUGAGUUUGUUCCUGGGCAACUCUACUGCAGCGUACACUGCCCCUUUCUGCAGUGACCAAGGGAGAAUCAGAGAAAGAGCAAACAGCUGUGAUAACAAGCUGCUUUGCCCCUAGGCUGCAGUGGGAGAGAUGGAAAUGGGUAGAACUGUGUGUAUCUCCACAGAGAGUCAUGUGAUCAUGUAAGCUGCAGGUCCUACCUCCAAUGGAUGCUGCCCAGAGACCACAGCAUAUAAAAAUCUUGUCCUGAGGCCCAUGAGAAGGAAACGGAGCUCUCAUUUGCUGUGCAGUGCAGCAAGGAUACGAUGUGUGGGAUCUGCAUGGAGGUGGUCUGUGAGAAAGCCAGCCCCAGUGAGCGUGGCUUUGGGAUCCUCUCCAGCUGCAGCCACGCCUACUGUCUCAAGUAUAUUCACAAGUGGAAGGGCACUAAGCUAUUUGAGAGCAAGAUCAUAGUGUCCUACCCAGAAUGCCGGAUCACAUCUAACUUUGUCAUUCCCAGUGAGUACCAGGCGGGAGAAAGAAGAGAAGCAGAAACUCAUCCAGAAAGUCAAGGAGGCAAUGAGCAGCCAGGCGUGCAGGGAUUUUGAUGAAGGACAGGGGAGCUGCCCAUCUUGGGGGAUGUGUUUUUACAAGCAGGUAUUCCCUGAUGGCCAUAGAAAGGAUACACAGAGACAGGCAAACAGAUACUGGGCCCAGUGAAGGAACCACUUCUCGGAGCUCAUUGAGGAAAGAGAGAACAAUGACCCCUUUGACAACAAUGAAGAAGAGGUUGUCACCUUUGAGCUGGGUGAGAUGUUGCUUAUGCUUUUGGCAGAUGGGGACGAUGAACUGACAGACUUUGAAAAUGAGUGGGACUUGUUCCAUGAUGAUCUGGAAGAUUUUUAUGACUUG
rnacentral:lncRNA from 1 species